GUUGGGGGUAGUUAACUGGUAACCAUUGAGCUAACUUCCUAGUUGUGUGAAAACAGGUUACAUUGUCAGCUUAUGACAUUUUUAGCCAUGCAUUAUAAAGCUGAAUGGUUCUAAGGUGUCCCCCUGAUACUGAGAGGACAGUUUCUGUGGGUGCAGGACAUUUUGACGUGACCACAAAAAAGCUCACGAUGGAAAAGGAAAAAAAGUCAACUUGUAGUGUCAUGUUCUUCACCGGACCUGUCAACCUGCUUCGACAGAACAUCUCCCCCAUAGCCUCAUGAUCCUCUCGUGGCUGAACAGUGAAGAGCAGGGGAUUGGUGAUCUAUAAUUAACUGGUGGGUCGGUGUUGAUGUCAUUGACACAGCGUGGAGGUAGAAGGUGGCAUUGCCAAGGCACCUGUUGUUGUGGAGUGUGGCAUCUGAUAUCAUUACCUACCCAGCCGGAGCGCCAAUGUCCCCGCUGGGUCGCGAACUGUCCAAGCUACCGACCACGCUCACCUUUCACACACACACACACAUACACGCACAGACUUGCACACGCAUCAUCCUCUGUCAUCAUGUCCUCCUUUACAUAACUGACUCUGACGGCUCUAACACCUAGAGGGCAGAGAUCCACAGAGAGUUUCAAUUAUUGUUAAUGAUAUUUUGAUGGUAGCUGGUUAACUUAUGUAUCCGUCAGGAUGCAGCUGUACAAAUAUGUGAUGGUGAAAUCUUCAAAAUCUACAAGAUGUGGAUAUAUAGCCCAAAGGGUUUAAAGGAACAGUCCAAUAUUUUGGGAAUACUUGCGAUCAGGCCCACAGUCUAAUGAGAAUGAGACCAUGUCUUUGAUGCCGGCCCCUCCGCUCCACUCAUCACAAGCUGGACAGCUCUGUGCUCACCUUGCUGUCUUGAAGGACAGUCUAUACUUUAGAAGUACAAGAGAGAGAAAGAAAGUUGGAGGCAGGUGUGCUCAAGUUGAAGCACUUCUCUGACUAACUUGGAAAAAUGCAUUGCACUGACAAGAGUGUGCAUGGAGGGAAGACUCAUCUCGCACUCAAAUAUCUCCGUGGGGAAUGGAAAGAUGGCAGAGAUGCAUGCCGAGGCCACUCCUUUUAUCCGGGCCUCGGAAAGAGAAACAUUGGCACCGUUGUCAGGAAAAAUGUGACAUUUCCUGCACUGUGAUACCUCACAUCUUCAAAUUGAUGCCUUGUCUGGAAUAGACAGAAGGAGGUGUAAUGAAUGUGCUUCGGUGACACAAAGACAUGCCACCAGGACAUUGUGGGAUCUCAGCUCUGGAGCGUCCUGACUGGUUUGCUUUUUAAAGCGCAGAGGGCCAGCUGUUUAUGUUAUUCAAAUUUAGAGAGGUUGGAGAAAAUGUGCGUCCAUCUACUGUUGCGGGGGAUAAUAAUUUGGGCGAAAGCAUCCAUUUCUGAAACCGCUCUUUAUGCUAUUUUUGUCAAUCAGACUACAUUGAAAAGUAUUUUCCAUGACACUGCUUGAAUUCCUCUUUAUAUACAGCUGAAACUUGGACAAAAGAUUCAAAUGAUUGUCAUUUUCUUCAGUAUUCACGCUGUCAUCUCCACAUAUCGUCUGAAUCAUCUGAAUCAUUCCUCCUUUAUGUGAAAUCUUCCACUGGUAGGGGACCGCGUUACUGUAUGUGUGGCGUACAGACAGACUCAUGGGAGGUCAUGGGAGUUCUGAGCUGACAAUCAAGAGACCAGCUGUCACUCAUAGCCCCAUCACAAGCCGCGCCACGUCGAGUCUUGUGACGACCACAUGACUACAAUGGCACAUUUCUCUUCUGUCUUUUGGCAGGUACGUAUCAGCAUGAUGGAUUGGCAUUACAGGAAAUCUUUCAUCAAGACCCAAAUAUCCUUUGUAAUCACCCUC